rnacentral:lncRNA from 10 species
CAAAAGUGGGCAGAGGGAAUUUUUCUUGAGCAGGGGGCGUGGUUAUGUGCAGGCUUCAGCAGACACAAGUUUGUGCAGUAGCCAGUCUCUGCAGCCCCCUCUAUUCCCCUGCUUCAGCGUGAAGUAGCUGUGAGGUUGGCAUAAUUUUUCCUUCAGGGUUCCCACCUUGGAGUACAGAUGCUGUGAUGCCUGAUAUCAACUCUUUGACUU